AAAUCAUUUUGCAUAUAAAAUUGUUAUUUUCAAAUGAAUUACAUGCCUGUAUGAUUAUUGAUUAAAGUAUGAUAAGUAAAGUAGCUUAUUUAUUUAAGUCAUGUUUAGUGCUUAUUAUUAUUCUUUAUAUUAUGCUUGUAUUUUUAUUCAUUUCAUUUGAUCCUUAUUUGAGGCAGGACAAUGGCAUUAAACAAUUGUCCACUGGAGAAAUUAAAAGCUCUGGCAGAAUAUCUACAUUUGUUUGUAAGAGACAAUAACUUGGUGGUAGGGGCAGCCAUCAGGUGCUGCUGUAGGAGUUGUAGCUGCAGCUUGGUUGACUGCAGAUGGAGAGAGACCUCUAACCCAAGUUCUCAGGGAUCUUCCACCUGAAAUGGCAGUGGGACUCUCUGAUGGUGGCAGUGCACUGCUUGAACAGUGGGUCUGGCCUGAUCCGGCUGCCCUGCAGGAGAGGGUUAUGACUGAUGAAAUCCUACAGAACAGAAUUCUAAAUUACCUUCAAAGUUUUUUUGAGCAACAACGCAUGGUAGUUGUACCAGAUUACUCUAAACAAAAAAUACAAAUUCAAACUAACAUCUACUAAUGUCUAACAAAGAUAUUUUGUACUUGGAUAACUGGCACCCAAUCACGCUGCUUAACUCAGAUUACAAAUUAUUAGCGUCCUUAUAUGCCAAAAGAUUAAAACCAUGUUUAGAGGAAAUCAUAUCUAUCUAUCACACAGUCUGGAUUUAUGAAGGGGAGAAAUAUUUCAAACAAUAUCAGACUGGUACUGGACCUUUUAGAUCAUUCAGAUUUAGUAAAUGAGGUGAGGAAAUGAGUAAAAUGAUUUAAAUGUGGAAGCUCUGAUUUUGUUUUUAGAUUUUUACAAGGCUUUUGACACUGUUGAGCACAAUUUCAUGUAUCAGACCCUUGAUAGGUUUGGUUUUGGCCCAACCUUUAAAAAUAUGGUGCACAUAUUUUAUAAUAACGUUUCAAGUAGUAUUUCUUUAUCCGUACACCUUCUCGUUUUGUGGAGGAAUUAGACAGGGGUGCCCUAUUUCCCCAUUUUUAUUUUUAUUAGUGGCAGAAACUUGAAAUCUUUAUACUGUACAUUGCUCCCAAAUUAAAGGUAUUGAGAUAGGAGAGUUCACUUUAACUAUUGCCGAUGAUACUUGUUUAUUUCUGAAGAACAAAGAUCAGGUCCCUAUUAUUUUGAAUAGUAGUAAGUUAAGUAACUUAAGUCGUUCUCGGAUGCUUUAUCAGUCAAUCACUGCAACAGUGAAAUUAUGGCAGUACACCACCUAGCUGACUCAAGUAUAUCUGGGAUACAGGUUAAACAGGUAGUUAGAUACUUGGGCGUUAUAAUUAGUAAAUCAGCCUCAGAGAGAAUUACAGAAAAUUUCUCACAUAGAUUACAAAAGACAAGAAAUAUUUUCGAUUGUUGGCUCCAAAGAAACUUAUCUAUUCAAGGUCGAGUGUUGAUGUCCGAGGCUGAAGGGAUUUCCAGACUUAUAUACCCUGCAUUAUCCCUUUAUGUAGACUCUAAUACGUGUUCCACAUCUGACAAAACUUUAUUUAAAUUCAUCUGGAAAGGCAAGACGGCGUACGUUAAAAGAAAAACUAUAAUUAGAAGUGUAAUAGAAGGAGGAUUAAACGCUAUAGAUUUUAAUACCAUUAAUAGUGUCCUUAAAAUUAAUUGGAUCAAGCACUGUCUUUGUGAGAAUAGUUUUCCAUGGUUCUCUAUCCCCAAUGUUAUCUUUAAAAAAUGUGGUGGUCUUCAUUUUUCACUUGCCUGUGAUUUCAAGUGCACUAAACUCCCUAUUAAUUUAUCGAAUUUUCACAAACAGGCUUUGGAUGUGUGGAAAUUGGUUUAUAAACAUAAUUUCUCUCCCCAUUCAUUUGUUAUUUGGAACAAUCAAUAUAUAUUAUUUAAGAACAAGACCAUUUUCUGGAGUGAUUGGUUUAACAAAGGUUUAAUUUUUGUUACAGAUCUAUUAAAUCAUUUAGGUGAUCUAUAUAAAUUACACAGAAUUUAUUCGUCAUUUUGGAUUAAAUGUAUCUUCAGGUGAAUAUAUAAAACUAAUUCAUUGUAUUUCUCCUAAACUACUUCACCUUAAUAAAAAUGAGAAGAUUUAUAAGCCUGUAUCUGGUUCUCUUCCAGCUCCAACUGCUGAGGGCCUUUCUAUCAGGUAUAAAAAAUUCAACAACCAUUAUAUUAGGAAGAUCUUAACCAAAGAAAAAAGUGUUCUUCCUAAGGCGUUGAUGAAGUGGAAACAGAAUUAUCCUUCAUUUAUUUUUCAGAAUCCGUAGUCAGACAUGAAUAAAUAUGUAAUUCCUAAAAAAGUCAAAGAAACUCAUUUUAAAAUAACGCAUAGAUAUUAUCCACGUCAUGAUUUUAUUAGUAAGUUUAAAGAAGGGUUCUCAUUAUUAUGUUGUUUUUGUAAAGAGGAGUCAGAAACUAUCUCUCACUUAUUUAAUUAACGUAUGUAAUUAUACCAAAUUUUUCUGGUCCCAACUUUCUUUGUCUGUUUUUUAAUUGUUUCACAACAGAUAUAGUGGUCUUGUUUUCGGAUUGUGAAACUGGUAUUUUGGAAAUGGACAAUAUAAUUAAAAUUCUUGUUUUAUUUGGGAAAUAUCACAUACACAAAGCAAAAUGUUUGUUAACUGUACCAAAUGGUAGACUGUUUUCAUUGAUUUCAGUGAUUCCCUAACUUCAAUACAGAAGAAGCGUAAAGCUGUUAAGACAUCUCAACUGUUGAAGAGGAUGCUCGAUGCAUCAGAUGUAUAAAGCAAACUUUGAUGUAAAAUGUGGAUUUACUGUAAUAAAUCUUUGUAUGAAUUUGUAUUCCCCUAUUAUUAUUCAAAAUUAUAAAAAAAAUAAAAAAAUUCUUUGUGCGGUUCGCUGCCUCUGACUACUCCAAUUAUCCAAUCAAAGGACAGGAAAUUGCUGACGUAAUCGUAUGCCUGUUAGAUGGCCCCAGUGACGCCAACACGAAAUCUGAUUGGUUAAUGAAACAAUUGUUCUUAUUGUUUACUCUCAUAAGCAUAAACAUGAAAUUAAUCCUGAAAUUAAUCAUCAUUAAUAAAUCCUUUAUUCUUCUGAUAGUUUAAGUGAAAUAAACAACAUUUGGCAUUUGUGGGUUUUGGGGUUUGGAUUUUAUUUUGGUAGUCUUUAUAUUUUGGCCGUGGUUUUAUUACAAAAAUUACAAGUUCAUCUGAAAGAAACAACCGCCUAACAAAAUUAACCAAGAAGAUACCAGCUUUUAAGAUGAAAAAAAUGAUGUUAAAACAUAUAUAUGUACACCUAACAUUUAAAGAGGCAUGAUAUGGAAAGAUACACUACCAGUCAAAAGUUUGGACACACCUUCUAAUCCCAUGGUCUUUCCUGAUGUUUAUUUCCUUCUACAUUGUAAAACAAUGCUGAAGGCGGCCGAAAUCCACAGUAAUGUCCUUUGAACAGUGGAUAUUGAGAUAUGUCUGCUACUGAUGCUCUGUAAAGCCUUCAUAACGCCUCUAAUCUGAGGUGCUGUUAAUUGGUGAUUUCUGAGGCUGGUCACUCUAAAUGAACUUCUCCUCUGCAGCAGAGGUCAGUUUUGGUCUUGCUUUACUGGGAGGGUCUUCACGUGAGCCAGUUUCAUCAUGGUGCUUGAUGGGUUUUGCAAAUGCACUUGACAAUACUGUUCUUGCAAGAACUAUUCCAGAACACCUGACCUUCGUGUCUUAAAAUAACAACUGACUGGUUUUUGUUGUCCUUACAUAUGGAUUACUGAAGUCCUUGUGUGUUAUUUCCUAGUUUUGAAAUCUCCAGGAUUGUUCAGGAAUGUAGAAAAUAAAUCCCUAAACACAAAACACUGAAGUAGAAGGUGUGUCCAAACUUUUGACUGGUAGUGUACGUUUUCCAAAUCUGAACCUGAGCAGUAAAAUGUUAGUAGCCUUCAGGACAAGCCAUGGAAAUGGGACUUGAGGGGAAGUAUGAGGGUAGUGAGUACUGUGUCCACAUUAUUGGUAUUAUGUCAAAUUCAUUUAAUGUGGUUGUCGAACCCUGUCAAGGGCGUGUCUUGUGUCGCGUGUCAUAGAGACACGUCACACUGGAAAGCACCACUGAAUAAUUUGCUAAACAAAUCAUAUGUAGAUAAAUGUCUUUUCUGGAAAGUGAAAGUGUUUUUUAUCUGACUAGGUCUGUGUCCUUUGUCCUUAUUUGAUUUUUUUCUUACAUACAGUAAGAAAACAUUUUUUUUCAAGGUAAGGGUACUGUAUUAUGAUACUCAGAAGUGGUUCCAUCGGAGCAGCCUGUGCUGGUGUGGGAAGUGUUUUUGGACAGUGGCAGGUUUGCUACACAUACAGAUUACCAGUAAAACAGAACUGUGGAUGUUUGCUUCUGCAUACAAAAUAACUUUUAGAAUUAAUAAUAAAUAAUAAAUAAUAAUAAAUAAAUACAGAAUUAAUUUCUUGAAUUGUGAUCUUUUCAGGUGCUGCUGUAGGAGUUGUAAAUGCAGCUUGGUUGAGUGCAGAUGAAGAGAGACCUCUAAUCCAAGUUCUCAGGGAUCUUCCAACUAUACUAAUAGUAGACGUCCUCGGUGGUAUCAGUGCACAGCUUGGUGGGAGGGUCUUACAGCCUAGAUGCACUUUUCACCACUUUACACUGUGGAUACACUACUAAAAUUAAUAUAGACUUAAAAUAUUCCAUAUAACCUAGAGUCUGUCUUUACCUGAAUGCUGCAGUCAAAACAUGCUUACUAAUUACUCACACACAAGUUAUCUAAAACCCACACCUUCAGCUACACUACUCAAUCACAGUCUUAAUCUGAAAUACUGAAAAUGCCCUUGUGGUAACUAGUGUUUUUUUCAUUUGUGUAGCUGUUUUGAUUGGAUUCUUUGUUUUCUAUUCUGCAGCUUAGCUAUUUAUGUCAGUGUUUCCUGUUUGUAGUUGUUUCUGUUGGUAUCUCCCUUUCGCUGUGUUGUGUUGUGUGGCUGGAUUAGUUCAUUACUGUGCUCCCCUUUCUCUGUUGUUUGGAUUGUAUGUUUGUUUCAUUAGAACUAACAUACAGCUAAAGCCUAGUUGUUCUUAUUGUUUACUCUCAUAAGCAUAAAAAUAUCAAAAUAUAUUUCACUUUCUCUGUAAAAUGUCAGACUGUGUGUGUGUGUGUGUGUGUGUGUGCAAAAUUCUCUUUCUCAAAUCUCUUUCUCCUGAAAUUAAUCAUCAUUAAUAAAUCCUUUAUUCGUUUUGAUAUUUCAAGUCAAAUAAACAAUAUUUAGCAUUUCUGGGUUUUGGAGUUAUUUUCACCGUGAUUUUUUUAACAAAAUUUACAGGUUCAUCUGAAAGAAACAACCACCUAACAAAAUGAACCAAGAAGAUACCAGCGUUUAAGAUAGACCUUAUGGUGACUAUAUAAAGCUCACAGUAAACACAGAAGCAGUGUAUGAAACCUUCUUCUUCUUCUUUUGCAUGAAAGACGAGAGCUUUAAAGUCCCAAGCUCAAUCGUUAAUAGUUAAUAGAGGCAGAGAAAGACGACGACACUUUAUUUAAAGGACAAUGGCAGCAAACUGGCCGAAUGCUAUUAAGGAACUGAUAAAUACUGUGGCACGAGAGCUACGUUUGUUUGUAAGGAACUACAACAUGGUGGCAGGAGCAGCCAUUGGAGCAGCCUGUGCUGGUGUGGGAAGUUUUUUUGGCCCAGUUGGGACAGUGGCAGGUGCUGCUGUAGGAGUUGUAACUGCAGCUUGGUUGACUGCAGAUGAAGAGAGACCUCUGACCCAAGUUCUCAGGGAUCUUCCAACUGAAAGAGCAAUGGAACUCUACACUGGUGUCAGUGCACUGCUUGAUGGGUUGAACUGGCCUGAUCCGGCUGCCCUGCAGGAGAGAGUUAUGAGAAAUGAAAUCCUACUGAACAGAAUUCUAAGUGUCAUUCAAAGUUUUUUUGAGCCACAACGCAUGGUAGUUGUACCAAGAUUACUCUAAACAAAAAAUACAAAUUCAAACUAAUCUCUAUCUUCUACACCUGUAGUGUGUGUGUGUGUGUGUGUGUGUGUGUGUACCUGUGUGUGUGUGUGUGUGUGUGUACGUGUGUGUGUGUGUGUACCUGUGUGUGUGUACGUGUGUGUGUGUGUGUGUGUGUGUGUGUGUGUGUGUACCUGUGUGUGUGUACGUGUGUGUGUGUGUGUGUACCUGUGUGUGUGUACGUGUGUGUGUGUGUGUGUGUACCUGUGUGUGUGUGUGUGUGUACCUGUGUGUGUGUGUGUGUGUGUGUGUGUACCUGUGUGUGUGUGUGUGUGUGUGUGUGUACCUGUGUGUGUGUACGUGUGUGUGUACCUGUGUGUGUGUGUGUGUGUGUGUACGUGUGUGUGUGUGUGUGUGUGUGUGUGUGUGUACCUGUGUGUGUGUGUGUGUGUGUGUGUACCUGUGUGUGUGUACGUGUGUGUGUGUGUGUGUGUGUGUGUGUGUACCUGUGUGUGUGUACGUGUGUGUGUGUGCCACAGAGAAUCUCACUGUAAGAAAAAGAAAUCCUGUAUACCUUUACUAUUUUUAGUUUUCUUGAGUUUUUAAACUAAUAGUAGACAUUCUGAAGACCUGACCUAAAUGUAACCUCAGAUGUGUGAAAAUGUUCCUUACUGUAUGAUAAAGAUUAAACAGAUGAUGAUCAUUUUACUAUAAAGACUGUAACUAAUCACAUUUGUAAUCAUUUACUUAUUAUUAAUUAAAUACCUGUAUACUUACUUAGGAUUAAUUAAAUACAUCUAUAAAUUAU